UAGUACAACUUUCAGCGGUGGAUGUCUAGGUUCCCACAACGAUGAAGAACGCAGCGAAAUGCGAUACGUA
rnacentral:rRNA from 1 species